rnacentral:lncRNA from 1 species
GACAAGAAAUUCUGACAACAUCCUGACACAUAGUAGGUACGUUAAGUGUCUACUUAUUGUGCCAAGGUCUCCUACACAUAUCCUGAAGAAUUUGUAGAAGAUACCAUUAUUUUUCCUUUACACUUUGCUGAAGGUUGGCCAAUGGCCAGAUCAUUAAGAAGAUUCUGGAAGCUGGAAAGCCGAAGAAUGCAGAACAUUUCUUCAGAGAGAAGAGUCUGCUCAGGGAUUGUUAAAUCCUCUCCUUGGCUUGAAUUGCAGGGAACAAGUCCAACAUCCUCUAUCCUCAUCUUUUGCCAGAGAGAUGAAAGGCAUAAGUCAACUGAACAGCUUGAAUGGGAGAGCAACAAGACAAUUCAUAGAAAAAGGAAAUCUUUGUAGAUACCCAAGCAG